GCACAGCCCAAACACACAUGUCCCUUCCCGAUCCCCCGCCAGACGGACAGACAAACACGCAUGCAAACCGCCCCCACCCGUCUCCACGCGCCCGGGUCCAGCCGGCAGCGGCCAGAGCCGCUCUGCAGCCGGUGCACCCGCAAGGCGAGGGCGCCUCCGCCUGAACCUUCCAUCGAGACAGUCCCCUCCUUCCUCGCUUCCUUCCUUCGCUCCUUCCUUCCUUCCUUCCUUGCCCGGGAGGUAAAGGGAGUCACUGAAAUGCCCAGAGCCAGCGCCUUCGCUGCGCUCGCUCGGCCGCAGGCCGGCGGCCCGGGCCUCGCGCCGCCAGCCCGCCCGGCCGCCUGCGCCGCGCGCCGCGGCCCCCUCCCCCGCUACCUGACAACGGGCCGCCGCCGGCCGCCGCAGCCGCAGCGGUGGCCGGGCCGUGCGCGCCGGUGCACGUCGCUCAUUAGUAAGCAGGCACAUUCCUGCCUCCAGCGCUCCCGCGCGGCCCCCUCCCCCCAGGACAUUACGCAAAGCAGCCUCCCCUCAUCUGCAUAGAUCCGCGGCCAGGGUAUUCCCCGCAUUUCCCCACGCGCCCGACACCCCUCCCGCGGUCUCCCCCAUCCCCGCCCCCUCCGACCCUCACCCUCGGGCCACCGGGAAGGGGCUGGGGGCACACGCCGGGGAGCGGGGGACGGAGUUCGGCGGCGGCGAUUCCAAUAUAAAGUGAAACAAGCUCCCAGCGCCGAAGGAGGCAGGAAAAACCCAGCGUCCAGGCCACUUACCGAGCCGAGGAGGGACCUAGAUUCCCGCCGCUCCGCUCUCGCGGUGGCCGGUCCGCCCUCCGCGCACCCCGAGGCUGCACCCAGCACCCCAGACGCGAGACGUGGAGGAACGCUGUGAACGAGCCGGGAGACCCUCCAAGUUGCUCUGGGCUCCGUGGAGCGUCAAGGUCCAAGACACAACUUGGCAAAGACUUGUGCCACAGUCACCGAAGAUGUUUGUGCGGAGACCCUCCUGCGGGGAACGACGGCGCUCGGCGGCGCCCCGCUCUCCUCCUCUCCACCCCCUCACCUCCAGCCCGCCUCCCGCCGGCCGCCCGCCUCCGGGCCGCGAGCCCCUCGGGCGGCUGUCAGCUCCCGGCCGCCGCCGGGUGACAGGGGCGGGAGGAGGGCGCGACGCGGCGGCCCGAGCCCCAGCGGGCGAGGGGGAUCCUCGCAGCCGCGGCGGCCGCUCACCUGGAAAGUCACCGCUGAGGAGGAGGAGAAGGAGGACGGGGAGGAGGAGGGAGAGGAGGAGGGGGAGGAAACCCCCCUGGUGCCCUUGUUCUCGCUGCCGCGGCGGCCGCUCCUCGCCAAGGCUGAGCGUGUCUGGUGGGGGGUGUCUGGUAGCAUUUCCUUAAGGACAGAGGGAGGGCGGGCGCGGAGGGAGGGAAAAGAUCCCGACCGCCAGCCCAGGCUCCUCUUGCCUUUAUUUAUUUUUCUGACACUGUACGGAGAUGGGCCCGGGGCAGGGGCCGCCGGGCUCAGGCGGGAGCCGCGAGGCCCGGGCCGCAGCUGUCUGCGUGCGGGAGCCGCAGCGGCCGCCUCCCCUCCCGGGCUGUGGACGCACCGGGUUAUUCCUGGCAGCGCCUCCCCGAACAGAAGUUACUAGGAGGAGUGCGCGGCGAGGGCGGACGGGGGGAGAGGCGGAGGGAGGGAGGGAGGAAGAGGGAGAGACUCAGCCAACGACGUCAUCGGAUCCCCCAGCGCGUCCCAGGGAGGGAGGCUGAACCAGAAAAACCAGUCUGGAGCCAGUGAGCGAGAGAGGGAUGUGCGGCGCGCGGGGCGACGGGGGAGGGAGGCGGUCGGGAGGGCAGGGCCGGGCCCCACGGCUGCCGCUGCGGGCGGGGAGAUCGCGGCCGCGCACUCGCUCGGUCGGAGCGGGGAACUCCCCGGAGAGCUGGUCUCUACUUGUCAUGCAAAAAAACUUGGGCAUCUCUAGGAGCCUGAGAAUUUCCUUUAAGGAUGUGGAAACGUCCUCCGUCCCCACCCCUUCCCCAUUUCCCAGAGAAUCGUUGUCUGCCUUCCUGACGAACGGAAUUGUAUAAUUAGUAGUGCCCUUAGAUUUGGAACCAGUACUCCGGAUCCCUGGCCUCUCCUCGCCCCCUGCCUCUACUCACAAUUAUGUUAUCGGUCAAGAAAAGCAAAAUCAGACUGUGGCUCCCGGCUGGGUUUCUGGAGCUUUGUAGGGUUUUACUAGCACUUUCCGUGCCCCUGCGGGCGCGCGAACUAUUCACGUGCUCGAAACGCCCGGAUUACCUUCCCUGAGGUCACUCACCAGGGUGCCCCCGGCACCCCCAGUUCGGGGACCGCGGCCCGCCCUCGCCAGGGGAUUCAAAUAGGUGUGGGCAGCGGCGCGAAGAGCAGCUGCCGGUUUCCUGGUGGGCCGCGCUGGAACCUCGGGGCGAGCUGCCACCUUCAGCCUGUGCGCUUCCCUCUCCACGGAAGGGACCGGAGUUGAAAUCACAACCAACCCUGGGAGAGCGGGGCCGGGAGGCGGGGGAAUCCCAGGCGAGUGGGAGCCGAAGCUCUGGGCUUCCUCCCCGGCCGGGCGACACCCGGGGGACACCGGGGCUCUCUCGGGCCGUUACCCUGCCUAUGUGGACUGGUGUGCACCCUCGGGGGAGGUUCCUAGGGUGCCACGGUGCCCGAGCGCGACGAGUGACUGCUGGGGAGGGGGGCCGGGUCCCGGAGCGCCUCCUCCGGGUGGUCUCCCCCCCAGCGGGGACCGCGCGCAGCACCUCGCGGGCGCCCCAGCCCCCGCACCCUGCGGAGCAGAGCCGAGCGCCCAGGACGCCGCGGGCCCCAGCGGUCCUCCCCACCCCCUGGCCGCGCCGCCGCCCUGCCCGGGGCGGAGUAAACAAGAGACGCGCAAGAUUUGACCUGGCGCGACCCGGCUUUCUGGCCGGGGUUCCCCCUGAGCAGGUGACUCCGUGGGAGGGGUGGAAAUGAGUCUCUGGAAUUCCGGGCCAAAGACAAUAACUGUGGUUCUGCUUUUAAAGCAGGUAUUUCACCAGCAACUGCGGAAUGUUUUGUGUCUCCAGUUUCAAAUUUCGCGGAAAGGGACCAAAUGUGAGGACAUAUAAAAUAUCCCCUUCUCUUUUCAUUAAAAAUGAGUGCAUUACAAAGGAAGGGCAGCCCCUUAAUGCCUGCGAGAAUAGCGCUGCUGGUUUCGUUUUUGUUUUGUUUUGUUUUGUUUUUCAUUCUGACCCACAAUCAGUGUAUUUUUGAGGUCCCUAUGCAAUGGCGACGGUGCCGUGAAGGGCAACUCAGCAAAAUAAAGCGGUGAUACAUUUUUUAACCGAUUUUUUUCUCAGAGGAGAAAAAUCUGAACAAUUUGGCCUAAGUUUCACUUUGUCCUUCUCUUAGGUUGAUCUCAUUUAAAUUCAGGGCCUACUUCCACUUAAGCAACUUCUUCUUUCAUUGUAUAGGUUCUUUAAUAUCCAACCUUUUUAAACUUAACUUGAAGCCUUUAAUUUAAAAAACUGUCCCAAUCAUCAUUUUCUUUUCAAUGUAUGCAGUUGCAUUUUAAACAUCCAUUUAACACACAAAAUGUGAUUUUUGAAAUUUUUUUCACUUUCAAACCCACCUGCUACAUACUCCCAGAGAGCGUUUUAUUUAAUUGCUUAAUAGAGAAGAUUAAGCAGUUUCUUUAAGAAUCCAAUUUCCCUUCAACAAGCACAACAGCAGCUGCCCAAGCUCCCAGAAACUAAGCAAAGGCAAGUAGCAGGCAGCGUUUUGCUUCACUAGAAUGAAUGUUAGUUGAAACCUUAAAUACCUCUUUAAAAGACUAGAUUAAAGAGAAUAAUGGGAAUAUUAAGAUACUCCGGUAGUUAGUUAAAAUAUUUUUUAAGGAAAACCAGGCAGAUAUACAUCUAUUUUGAUGAUUUGAUCCCACCUUCAAAGAGGAUCCCUGAAAAGAGUUUUAGUCACAAUUUGACAAAUUUUAAAUAAUUACUUUGUUUCAGAGUCAUGAGGAUGGAAAGAAGAUAGCCUGCGUUGAGUUGAAGUAAAGUAAAAAUAUUAUGAAUAUGUGUAACUAGGUGACAUCCUCUCUGCUGGGAAGAAUCCUUUUUUUUUUUUUUUUUUUUUUUCUGGUGACAGGUUCUUGCUCCAUCACCCAGGCUGGAGUGCAGUGGCAUGAUCUUGGCUCACUGCAGCCUCUCCCUUUCAGGCUCAAGCAAUCCUCCCACCUCAGCCUCCCGAGUGGAGGGGGAGCCACUGCAGAUCUGGAGCAAAUCAGCACCAGCCACUCCAGAGCCUGACCUACAUAGGACUCAGAAAGCAUUGUCUAUUGUGAUUGAUUAUUCCUGUGUUCAGUCCCAAUGGCCUAUUGAUUGGGGGUUUCUCUCCAAAAGGCUGCAUGGCUUUUCUUCUCUAAGUGAAUCUCCUUUAUAACCCAUAUUUUAUGUCUAUAUACCAAACAUGCUAUCCAUAUUUAGUCAAUGUCCAGUUGCUUGCAUGUAAGGGCAAUAGAGUAAUCAGAAAACUCUUCCCAGAAAGCCCCCGAAGACAAAACUAGUACUGGUAGAAAACUGGGCAUGCAGCUCUAAGAAACUCUAUGGGAAGUGAGGCUGGGUGGGGCACAGCUGCCCCAGCCUGGCACCCAUAUGGAGCAUCAGCAAGGAAGUAGGAACUUUCUUUUCAUCAUGCAUCCUUCUUAUCACUUCUCAGUUUCAAAGGGAAAGAAAAUUUGGUAAUCUGCAUUUUGAGACAUUAAGAAAAUAAAAUAAUUAAUGGCUUCAUGGUUAUAUGGCAUUUUUCAGAGUAUUGUCAGAAAAUCAUUUCGAACUGAAAUUUUCAUUCAAAAAUAUUUAUUGAAUGCCGGCUAUGUGCUGAAGAUUCUUAAGAUACAUCAGUGAACAAAUCAAAGUUCCCUGCUUUCUUGGAGCUUGCAUUCCAGCGGGAGGAGAGGAUUUGGAGGAAGAAUGGGAUAGACAAUAAAUGUAAGUAAUAAAUUAUAUAGGACUUUGAAAGGUAAAAUGUUUGGGGGAAAAACAUAAAAUAGGGUAAAGGAUAUAGGUGGGGUGAGGGUUGUCCUGAUGCUGUAUUAAAUAGGAACAUCAGAGUAAGACUUGUUGAAAAGGGAGAUUUCUGCCAUGGUUUGAAGGAAAUACCUGGAGAUAUCUGGAGGACAGAGCUUUUCACAUGGAGGGAACAGCCAAGAUACAGCUCCAAUACCUGGAAUUUUUAUAGACAUCAAUGGGAAUGGUGUGGCUAGAAUAAAAUGAGACAGCCAGUGAACAGAAGGCCUCUCAGGUCACCGUAAGAAUUCCAGAAAAGCUUCAUAAAAGGCAAAUUUUGGGCCUUUAUCACUCAGCCCCAUGGAAUCUGAAUCUUUGUGGGCCCAGGACUCUGCAUUUUUAACAUGUAAAGCAAUUGUUACUUAUGUAUUCUAAAGCACAAGACCUCCUGCCACAGAGCAUGGGACCUGAUAUAUCCAGGCAGGAGAACUGGGUACCAGGAGACACUGUACAUGAAGUUUCCAGAACCAGCCAUGUCCAUCUUACUAAUCAAGACUCUCUCUGUUAAAUCUGCAACUCAAAUGACUUUAAGGAAAAAUGGAUUUCAUUGAUUCACAUAACCAUCACUCAAGGACUAACUUUCAACAUAGUGAGAUCCUGAGGCUCAAAUAUUAUUACCCGGUAAGGCCUUCUCCAUCUCUGUUCUUAUCUCUCUGCUUCACUUUGCCCUUCAGGCAAACAUUCUGCAGGUUGGUGGCAGCAUUCCCAGAUUAUCUUCUUCCUAGAUAAGCAACACAGCAGGAAAAGACCUUCUUUCCAGAUAGCUCAGGCAGCCUUAGUCAUGUCAUUGCACCUGAACCACUUGCAGGUCUUGGGUGGAGUGAUCUGAUUUGGUCAUGACUAGACCUGAAGAGGAGAAGGUCCUCAUGGGGAAAAAAAAAAAAAAAAAAGCUGUUCCCAAAAGAAAGGAGUCUUGCAGACCAGGGGGCGGAAAGUAUCCACUAUAUCCCUUAAGUCUUUUGGCUUAGGUUUCCCUAUUUUUUAUAACUAGGGAUUUAGUCAAGAUGAUGUGCCUAAUUUCCUAUAAAUUCUAUAUAAAUCAUUGUAAUAAAGUCCCCCCAUAAAAUUGUGCAAAAUGAAUUAACUGGCAUGCCACUCUCUCAGAUAAAUUUAUGGUACUAUAAAUAAGACAUUAAAGGGGUUACCUGCUAUGGGAUUCUGAUGAAUAAAUAGAAUAUAGCCUUAGGUCUUAAUAAAGAGUAAUGACUUAGAACUGCCUUUCUGAUGGAUCUCUUGCUUCCUACUUAUCUGCUUUAAUUAGUAUAUGGAGGAAAAUUAAGCAGUGUCAUGAUUCAUGUGAUGUUAAGAAUACAUAGGUCCCCAAAAAUUAGUUGAAGAAAAGAAUUUGGAGGGAAAAUCUGCAUGUCUGUUGAAUCGUCAAUAGGAUACAAAUCCAAUCAUUCUAAUGUAGACAAGUCUUUUGAUCCCACUAUACAUCCUUUGGCUCAGGAGUGGAGGGUGAUAGUGGUAAUGAAGGACCGAUCAGCCAGAGCCAUACUGUGAUUCAAGAUGACAUCUGUUAGGAUUGAAGGAUAAAGUGCUUACCCUCAUGGGUUUUACAAGGCACACAGAGCAUGCAGACAUCCAACUAACCAAAUGUCACCCUGUAUUCCAGAGUUGCUCGGAAUAUAUUCCAAAGACCACUUGUAGCAAUAUCUCUUGCAAUGCUCAAUUAAAAGCCUGGGCUACCCCCUAGAUUUAUAAAAUCAAAAUCCUCAAAAUUAGGGCCUGGGAAACUCCAUGUGAAUAAGAUCCCCGAUGACUUCUAUUCUCAUUAAAGUCUGAGAAGCAUCCCUUUACAUACAAUUUCUAGCUCACUUUGUCCCUCAGAUUGAAUGGGGGCUGGCUGGCUGAGAACUCCCUUCUUCCCUGUUUGUCACAUUCUUCAAAUUUCACGUGAUCCUUUAUGACAAGUUGGUCUCUUUUUCUCCUUUAAAGAUAUUCAUGUGGCUCUUAUUUUAACCAGAUUUCUUCUGUACAAAAAAUAUGUCAGGAAAGAAAUGAUCCCAUGAAUGAUCCAGCCCUGGGGAUGAGAAGGGUGCAGGGGAAGGAGGGAAUGGUGGGCACGGAAUAUACGAAUGCAUAGAGGGCGCGAGGGGAGGGAGAGGUCAGCUGUGGGGAUGAGCAAGAUGCAAGCAAACUUUGAUGGUUUUCUAGCUUAGCUUAGGACCAACCCUGCCCAUAGUUUAUGGAAGGAUACUGCAUGUUUCUUCAGUCCAAUCUGCUGUGAAAUGCUUGUUAUAUUCUAGAGAAUGCUCAAGGAAUGCCCAGUCAGGCCUUUAUUCUGAGGAAGCUCACUGAUGUCUCACAGAUAACCUUCUUAAAGAUGAACAAAUAUCAGAUACAGGAGCAGCCAGUAAGACUGUCCAGGAUUACCAAUGCCUGAACUGCCACCUUAGAUACAGGGAAAUGUAGGCUUAUGAUACAAUGUUAGCAAUUUAAGAGCACCACAUUAACAUCAUCCCCCAUCCUACUUUCUUCCAUCACCCUCCCCCAACUCCAAAAUUGGUUAGAACUGAAAUUCCUCCACUUAACAGUCACUGCUUGGGGUUAAGGCUCUGCCUCUGUAGAAAUCUUCCCGUACAAGCUAACUACAAGUGGUAGGCUCUUCUUAUCCUAAGCUCUUAAUCAGUCAUUAACUUCUUAUGAAAGAUUAAUUUAUUAGAUUGCCUUACAGAGUGACAGCUAGCUUAGUGAUCAAACUGAUUUAUCUUGACAAAGCAUAGAAUGGAGAUAAUAUAGGAAGGUCUGGAGGGGGAGUGAGACAGAGAGAUCCAAAGCUUGGACCAGACUGACAUGGGCACACUAGGGCAACUAGGAAUAGGAUACAAAUUGAAGGGGAAAGGUGUGAAACGAUGAAGGGAAAGGCAAACGCAAAAGCCACUGUCUUUGGACACAGAGGAUGCCUGUGCUCAGGGCCUGUGGAGUGGGGCAUGAUGAUCCAGGCUUUUUAGGCAGAAGCUGGGUGGCUCUGUCAGCCCAGAGUGCAGGUGCUAGUCCUGACUCUGAGCUAGCGGGAGACCUGGGUCCCCUCUCUUAGCCUCCACUUCCUCAUUCAAGCAACUAGGGGAUUCCCUUUCAAUCAUAAGAUUCUGAAAUAGAAACUCCUAACAAUCUAGCAGGGACAGAGAAGGGGAAAAGAAGAGAGGGAGGCAUGAAAAAGAAAAAUAGCAGAGAGAGCUUAUCAAAGUCCAAAUUCCUCCCAAGCUCUUGCAGUGGUUUCUUA
rnacentral:lncRNA from 1 species